CUGGGUUUGACAUGGAUCAGGAGUGCUUAGAGAUGGGUGCGCCUCUUUUGGGGCUGGUUCACAGGUGGUGCAUGGCUGUCGUCAGCUCGUGUCGUGAGAUGUUGGGUUAAGUCCCGCAACGAGCGCAACCCUUGUUCACUGUUGCCAGCACGUUAUGGUGGGGACUCAGUGGAGACUGCCGGGGUCAACUCGGAGGAAGGUGGGGAUGACGUCAAGUCAUCAUGCCCCUUAUGUCCAGGGCUUCACGCAUGCUACAAUGGCUGGUACAAAGAGUUGCGAGCCUGUGAGGGUGAGCGAAUCUCGGAAAGCCGGUCUCAGUUCGGAUUGGGGUCUGCAACUCGACCUCAUGAAGUCGGAGUCGCUAGUAAUCGCAGAUCAGCAACGCUGCGGUGAAUACGUUCCC
rnacentral:rRNA from 1 species